AAACUUAAAGGAAUUGACGGGGAGCACCACAACGGGUGGAGCUUGCGGUUUAACUGGAUUCAACGCCGGAAAUCUUACCGGGACCGACAGCAAUAUGAAGGCCAGGCUGAAGACUUUGCCGGAUUAGCUGAGAGGUGGUGCAUGGCCGUCGUCAGUUCGUACUGUGAAGCAUCCUGUUAAGUCAGGCAACGAGCGAGACCCACGCCCACAGUUGCCAGCGUACUCUCUGGAGUGACGGGUACACUGUGGGGACCGCCGCUGCUAAAGCGGAGGAAGGAAUGGGCAACGGUAGGUCAGUAUGCCCCGAAUAUCCCGGGCUACACGCGAGCUACAAUGGUUGGUACAAUGGGUAUCUACCCCGAAAGGGGACGGGAAUCUCCUAAAACCAAUCUUAGUUCGGAUUGAGGGCUGCAACUCGCCCUCAUGAAGCUGGAAUCCGUAGUAAUCGCGUUUCAACAGAACGCGGUGAAUACGUCCCUGCUCCUU
rnacentral:rRNA from 1 species